UAAAAAAUAAAAAUAAAAAAAAGACCAACAUGAACUUGUAACAGCUAUAUAUUCCCUUCUAUGGCCAUAAUAGACUUCCACCAGAAGAUAUGCUUCUAAAAUUUGUUUGUAUAACUACUAUCAUCGAAAUUCUCCAAUUAUUUAGCCUACUGGCGAUGUCCUUGCAAAGGGUAAUGAGAAAUGGACUAAAAAUGCAAUUGAUAAAGAACAUGAUAAUUUAUCACUACGAAAAGUUUAUGAACCUUCAUAAAUUAAUAGUAUCCAAU
rnacentral:misc_RNA from 1 species